GGGUGAGUAACACGUAUGGAACCUGCCCGUAGCAGGGGGAUAAGCGGAAGAAAUUCCGUCUAAUACCGCGUAAUAACUCCGAGAGGCAUCUCUUGGGGUUUAAAGGGUAACGCCGGCUACGGAUGGCCAUGCGGCGCAUUAGCUAGUUGGCGGGGUAACGGCCCACCAAGGCGACGAUGCGUAGGGGUUCUGAGAGGAAGGUCCCCCACACUGGUACUGAGACACGGACCAGACUCCUACGGGAGGCAGCAGUGAGGAAUAUUGGUCAAUGGGCGCGAGCCUGAACCAGCCAAGUCGCGUGAGGGAAGACGGUCCUAUGGAUUGUAAACCUCUUUUGUCGGGGAGCAAAAGACGCCACGUGUGGCGUUCCGAGAGUACCCGAAGAAAAAGCAUCGGCUAACUCCGUGCCAGCAGCCGCGGUAAUACGGAGGAUGCGAGCGUUAUCCGGAUUUAUUGGGUUUAAAGGGUGCGCAGGCGGAAGAUCAAGUCAGCGGUAAAAUUGAGAGGCUCAACCUCUUCGAGCCGUUGAAACUGGUUUUCUUGAGUGAGCGAGAAGUAUGCGGAAUGCGUGGUGUAGCGGUGAAAUGCAUAGAUAUCACGCAGAACUCCGAUUGCGAAGGCAGCAUACCGGCGCUCAACUGACGCUCAUGCACGAAAGUGUGGGUAUCGAACAGGAUUAGAUACCCUGGUAGUCCACACAGUAAACGAUGAAUACUAAUUGUUCGGGGA
rnacentral:rRNA from 1 species